rnacentral:ncRNA from 1 species
CAAGAAGCUUAGAAGCAACUAGUAACCGCAAACUGGUGUUUAGCGAAUCAAUGGUUGGUGUAAAUUGAUGAUCAGUGGCGGUGAAUCCAUUGCAGAGCUUGAUGGCGAUGAGUCAUCUCGGUGAGGCGAUAUACUCAUUUAAGGUGGAGUCUUUCAAAGACUCAAAAAUGGGUGGUACCGCGUUAAAACGUCCCGUAG